AGCAGUCGCCGCGGGAAUACGUAGGGUGCGAGCGUUAAUCGGAAUUACUGGGCGUAAAGCGUGCGCAGGCGGUUCGUUAAGACAGAUGUGAAAUCCCCGGGCUCAACCUGGGACCUGCAUUUGUGACUGUAUAGCUAGAGUACGGUAGAGGGGGAUGGAAUUCCGCGUGUAGCAGUGAAAUGCGUAGAUAUGCGGAGGAACACCGAUGGCGAAGGCAAUCCCCUGGACCUGUACUGACGCUCAUGCACGAAAGCGUGGGGAGCAAACAGGAUUAGAUACCCCCGUAGUCCCUGUCUCUUAUAC
rnacentral:rRNA from 1 species